rnacentral:rRNA from 1 species
GAUGAACGCUGGCGGCGUGCCUAAUACAUGCAAGUCGAGCGAACAGACGAGGAGCUUGCUCCUCUGACGUUAGCGGCGGACGGGUGAGUAACACGUGGAUAACCUACCUAUAAUACUGGGAUAACUUCGGGAAACCGGAGCUAAUACCGGAUAAUAUAUUGAACCGCAUGGUUCAAUAGUGAAAGAGGGUUUUGCUGUCACUUAUAGAUGGAUCCGCGCCGAAUUAGCUAGUUGGUAAGGUAACGGCUUACCAAGGCAACGAUGCGUAGCCGACCUGAGAGGGUGAUCGGCCACACUGGAACUGAGACACGGUCCAGACUCCUACGGGAGGCAGCAGUAGGGAAUCUUCCGCAAUGGGCGAAAGCCUGACGGAGCAACGCCGCGUGAGUGAUGAAGGUCUUCGGAUCGUAAAACUCUGUUAUUAGGAAAGAACAAAUGUGUAAGUAACUAUGCACGUCUUGACGGUACCUAAUCAGAAAGCCACGGCUAACUACGUG